rnacentral:lncRNA from 1 species
GCAUCCAUUUAAUUAAUCAUCAAGGCAAAGAACUAAAGCAGGCACCAACCCAAACCAAUACAGAAGUAUAUAUUUGACUCCAAACACCUAAAGAAUUGCAAAAGUUCCACUACUAAUCUAAUAAGCAUCUGAAAAAACCCCAUCCCUCAAUCUGGCUACUUCUAACCUAAUCUAAUAAUCAUAUGUGGUCCACCAUUCUUGCACGAAUCAAAUACAGAAAAACCCUAAUGCAGAGAAAACCCUACCUCCAACAAAUCUAACCAAACAAAGUCCUGGCCACAAACCCUACAAUCUAAAAACUACCAACUAAAAGUUAGCCGCAGAUACCUUCUUCUCCGCUUCCUCCUCGCCGGAGCCGGCCUCCACCUUCUCCACCUCGUGCGCCUCGCCAGAGCCCGCCCCCACCUUCUGCGCCUCGCCAGAGCCCGCCUCCACCUUCUGCGCCUCGCCGGAGUUCGCCAGAGCGGGCGCAUCUGGCUGGACCGCGCCAUUGCGGCCCGCCCCCGCCUUCUCUAGAUCUCCAGCGGAGGGAGCACCGCGCUGGAUGCCGGCACGCCCCCUCACAAAGGUGCCCGCAGCGACCUGCCGCGCCUGCUCCACCAGAUCUGCGCCCCAAUCGAGGCGCUCGCCUCCUGCGUCUGCCAUGGCGAUGGAGAGGAUGCGGUGAGGGAGACGAGGAGGUUGGAGAGGAGAGGGAGUGGGGAGUGGAGAGUGGAGAGAGGGAGACGAUGCGGCGGGGGGAAAUGGUGGGCGAUGCGGNNNNNNNNNNNNNNNNNNNNNNNNNNNNNNNNNNNNNNNNNNNNNNNNNNNNNNNNNNNNNNNNNNNNNNNNNNNNNNNNNNNNNNNNNNNNNNNNNNNNCAUGUUGCACUUGCCCACAGCAUAGACAAGUGUUGCAGCAUGUCUCAAGCAACACUGAAGCGCCAUUUGUGAUCAUUGCACCAUCGAAACAACAACUAAACAUGAAGGAAGCAUUCACCACCAAUAAAGUUAAGGCCACACAUAUAUAGAUAGCAUUCUAGGUUACCACCAUAUGUAGCAGGCCGUUCACAAUAGAUCCAGUUCAAACACACAAUACAUUACAUUAAUAUAGCAAGUUUUCAAGCAGUUCAUACCCAGAUGCAGCUUUCCAAAAGUAAAACAUCAUCAAAUAUACUGAUGAUGAGUACGGCUUCCAGCUUCCGAUGAUCAGCAUGAUGUACGACUAGAGGUCAGGGUUUCUCAGGACCUUCAGGAGGGCAAAAUGCUAACCAAUGAUCUUGUAGUCAUGACCGGAGAUCGAUGUAGCCCGGCAAUGCUCCAUCAGAUGCUCCAAUAACCCAGACCUGGGCUUGGGCUUGUUGCAGUAGGGGCACCGGUACUUUUCAUUCCUCAAGUUGUAGUACUUAGCAGGUCCUUGGACCCUGAUCUUCAACACCUCCUUCUCUUUAAAGGACUCGACGUUCCCCUCGACCACAUCAUCUCCAGAUUCAUACUACACACAUUAAUGACUGACAUUAAUACAUUAUGCAUUCAAAAACUAUAAACACAUAAUACUAAAUCAAUGCAGAAAUAACAUUUCAACUAGGCCUUACCUCGUACGGCUCAUCUUCAUCAGACUCAUAUGGGUAGAACCCAGUCUUGUCCCAAUUCCUCUUGUUGCCCAGAAGAUCCUCCUCCUGCUGCUAUAUUGUCAAACAUGCACAUCAAUUACAAUGAAUUGAAUUGCAGUUCACAGAAUGUCAUUACAAACAAAAUUGUGAAUGUGAACCACAUUGGUAUGUUGCAAGUGACCAAAUGCUUUCCUUAUAAAUACAGAAUCUAAGCAAUCAAUCAAUAGAUAAAUGAUGUCCUUCAUAAAUGCUAAUGAAAAUGCAAGCUGGAUUCUUGACAUUCCCUGGAUUAACCCAACACUUUCCUUUUGAGGGAAUUCCCCCCACACUACUUAAUGGAAACAUAUAGUAUAUUUUGUUGCUAGGAUCCUGCCUUGGAAUGUUUACUUCACACUUUACAUAUAGUAUAUACUAAUUAUAGAAGCCAACUACAAAUUUUAAUAUGCACAAAUUACUGUUUUUGGGAUAAUGCAGCAAAGCUCCUACACAUAUUAACAUAAUGCAGUAGUUAAUUAGGUACAACUUCAACUAUAAAUGCAUACAUCUCCAACAAACAUCUAAAAUUUCAUUACUUACCUAAACAACAACAAAUUAUACUAUAGAUGAAUCUUGUACCAUAUAAAUCAAUUCAUUGGCACAUCUUAAUUAAUGCACUCCAAAUCAAAUAUGUUUCCAUCCAGUAUCAUUGAACCACAGAUCAAAUCAAAUAAUCAUAAAUGUCAGCAGCAUUGAACUACAAAUCUAAUAAUCAUAUGACAUCUAUCUGACCUUAAAUAAGGUAUUCAUCCUCAUACUAAUUAAAUUCUAACAAGCAAAAAUUCAACUACUAAUCUAAUAAGCAUCUGAAAAAACCCCAAGAUGCUUUUAUCUCUGAAGCAACGGCAUUGCAGAGGAUGUUCAAUGCUGUCAAUAUCUCUGAAGCAACGACAAAAUUCCACUACUAACCCAAAGUAAAUAAGCAUAGACUGCCCCUUCCCCUCGACCACGCUUCCCCUCUCCUUCAGAAGCCCCAAUCCAGCACAAAAAAAUCCAGCCCUUGAGAAGCUCUUUUUGUUUAACAUGACAACACCCAGUACAUGAGCACAUCCUUCACUAUAUUUACAACCAAACUAAUUCACCAUCUAAUCACCUCACGUACACAAUUUCCAAAAACACAAGGCCAUGCACAACUCAUCUAAUAGCCUCUGCCUGACAGGCAUCAAUCAAGCAUCAAAUAACUGCAACUAUGACAACAUGCAUCAAUCAAGCAUCUAAGAAUUGCAACUAUGACAGCCAUAAUCCCUAGAACUCAGCAUCCAUUUAAUUAAUCAUCAAGGCAAAGAACUAAAGCAGGCACCAACCCAAACCAAUACAGAAGUAUAUAUUUGACUCCAAACACCUAAAGAAUUGCAAAAGUUCCACUACUAAUCUAAUAAGCAUCUGAAAAAACCCCAUCCCUCAAUCUGGCUACUUCUAACCUAAUCUAAUAAUCAUAUGUGGUCCACCAUUCUUGCACGAAUCAAAUACAGAAAAACCCUAAUGCAGAGAAAACCCUACCUCCAACAAAUCUAACCAAACAAAGUCCUGGCCACAAACCCUACAAUCUAAAAACUACCAACUAAAAGUUAGCCGCAGAUACCUUCUUCUCCGCUUCCUCCUCGCCGGAGCCG